rnacentral:rRNA from 1 species
AGAGCGGCGUUCGGUCGCCCACAACGGGACCUCAGGUCAGGCGGGG